UAAAGUGGGGCUACUGAUGCCCCCACUGGGACAUGCCCUCGGGCCAGGCCUCCCCUACGUCCUCUUGGGGCCAUCCAAGGGAGAGUCCAGAUCUCUGUGCCCAUGUGAUGGUCUUGGCUUCACUCUCAGAAGGCCCCCGAGGGACCACAUCAGCCAGUUUGGCGGGGACCCUCCUUCUGCCUAUGAGGUGCAGUCCAGUCGGCACUGCCUUCCCUAGAGGAGGAGCUGCCUCUGAGUGGCCUGUGGCCUUGCUCUCCUUUCCUUGGGUGGGGAUGACAUGUGGGAAGCUGAGGGCAUCCAUCCCAAGGGUCAGGUUCCCAGAACUCUGGGAAGCCAGGCCAGCCUGGCCCCUGUAGUGAGACCCAGGGAAGGAGAGGGACCUGGCCGGGGCCGCCAGGACUGGAUUGGUGCACGAGGACCCGAAGUGCCCCUGGGGCUGGCACUGCUCCUCCAGCCCUGGCAGCCUCCCCAGGACCGAACUGGGGGGCCGCAGGAGCACAGUUGAGAAGGUGCUGGGGUCUCCUGUCCAAAGGGAAGCAGCUCCUCAGGAAACUGGGCUCUGGGAGGAAGGAGUGAAGCUGUGGCCCUUUCUGGAGUGGCCCCUGGAGACACCCAGGUCACUGCUGUGGCUGGACAGGGGAGGCCCUGCCCCGUCCCAGAGCUCCUGGUCUUUGUAGCGUUAACACAGUGGCACUUGGAUGGGAAUCAAAGAGAAUUGGUGAAGGUGGGAGCCUAGGGUGGGUCUUGAGGGGUGCGUCCUCUAGCUGGGCCCCUUCCCCUUGUAGGAGGGAAACUCCUCCCCGCAGUGAGUAACCUGACCGAGCUCACGGAGCCCCAGUGAGACCAGGAUGGGACUCAGGUCUCUUGACUCCCAGUCCACCCACCUAGUCCAAUCCUAGUUUCCCACCAGGCUGUGUAGGUCCCUUCUUUGACCCUCUCUGUACCCAGGACGGAACCCUGAGGGGAGAAGGGGCCUGUCUCCACAGUGGCUCUGGCUGUCCUGAUUGGAAAGCUUGCAUUGGAGUCUCCCGUGGGGGCGGCGGGCGGAACCUUGUAUAUAUGUACAUACUCAGUGCCUCACUCCAGCCCCUCCAUUGCGCCUCAGCCUCCACCGCACAGGCUGGGGAGGGAGAGGGCCAGGCCGGGAAGCGGGCCUCACCCCGCCCCGCUGUGCUCCACCCCUCCCUGCCCCGCCGCCUGGCCCCUGUGCACCCUCCUUGAAACCCAGGGGACCAGGGGGCAGAAAGCAGGAGUUGGGUUUGCCUUAUUUUGCUCAUUGGAUUCAACUUCUCUUUUGCAUUGUUUUCCUCUGACCCCUGUGGGUGUCCAGGGGCUGAGAAUAAGGACAGAUUUAUGCAGCUAUUUUCAUACAUUCCCUGUUCAGAGUGGGUAGGGGCUUCUCCACCCUUCCCAAGCUGCCCAUCCCUCACCCUGGCUGGGUGAAUGUCUCUCUGCAUGUUUCUUUCGCUGUGGUGGGAGAUUGUUUAGAACCCCGCCUCCAUCCUGGUCUCCAGGGGUGUGGAAUGGUGGAGGCAUUUGUUUAAAAAGAC
rnacentral:lncRNA from 1 species